rnacentral:rRNA from 1 species
AGAGUUUGAUCCUGGCUCAGGAUGAACGCUAGCGGCAGGCUUAAUACAUGCAAGUCGAGGGGCAACAGGGGUAGCAAUACCUGCUGGCGACCGGCAAACGGGUGCGGAACACGUACAGAACCUUCCUUUAAGCGGGGGAUAGCCCAUAGAAAUGUGGAUUAAUACCCCAUAGUAUUAUUGAUUGGCAUCAGUUAAUAAUUAAAGAUUUAUCACUUAAAGAUGGCUGUGCGGCUGAUUAGGUAGUUGGUCGGGGUAACGGCCCACCAAGCCAACGAUCAGUAACUGGUGUGAGAGCACGACCAGUCACACGGGCACUGAGACACGGGCCCGACUCCUACGGGAGGCAGCAGUAAGGAAUAUUGGUCAAUGGACGCAAGUCUGAACCAGCCAUGCCGCGUGAAGGAUGAAGGCCCUCUGGGUUGUAAACUUCUUUUAUCUGGGAAGAAACGCCUGCUUUAUAGCGGGUUUGACGGUACCAGAGGAAUAAGCACCGGCUAACUCCGUGCCAGCAGCGGCGGUAAUAC